GGUGCACUCAAAAAAUCUUUCACCACAGGGUUGCAUGAAAACUCCGGUGGCAGAUAAUUUUCAAUCCAGAACAACGUUUUACAUGAAUCUUGCAACUGUCGCAGUGUAUUCAUGUCAACCCUACCUGAUUUGCACGCAACCCUCACCCACACAACUAAAGUUGCGUGAAAUUCAUGCCUGAAAAAUUGGAGGCGUGGCAUGCAGUCAUAUGUGUUUUGGUUCGCAUGAAAUUCUUGUCAUAUCCACAUGGAAACUGCUAUGGAAAAAAGUCACUAGCCUUUUCAUGCAACAUUGAAGUGAAAAAUGAUGGCGAUGAACAAAGCUUUUGAGGUUGCGUGAAAUUCCUGUCUGCAAAUUUUGAGAUGGGCCUGAAAGUCUGAGGACGGUCAGUUGGCUGCUGAUUCUCAUCAAAGUAACAUUGUUUUUAUUUUCUUUCUGUUUGCGCCGGAACAUUUCAGCGCUGUUUUUCGAAGUGAGAUUUAUUGAUGCAAUAGCCAGGAAAACCGAAGUUCCAGUGCAACAACGUCGGUGCAAAUCACCGCAACAUGGCCAAGCGUAACAUAAAGCCGGUCCAGGACAAGAGAGUCAAACAAACCAGGAAGAAGGUAGGCACUGGUCGCGUCCGGCAGAAGGAGGAUCGCUAAAGUGACCAGAGAGACUGACCCCCGUUCCGCAAAGGAGAACCAGGCGUGUGAGUGUGAGAUUGUUCGUAGAAAAUGCCUCCUACGCCGGCAAACAAGGCAAUUUGAGUAUGUUGUGAAUGUAGUGUGAAGUGAAAAUGAAACGUUGUGUAAAAGUGAUACAUAAAAUUUGGUGAAUAAAACAAGUUAAAAGA
rnacentral:lncRNA from 1 species